UACGUAGGGUGCGAGCGUUAAUCGGAAUUACUGGGCGUAAAGCGUGCGCAGGCGGGCUUUUAAGCCAGACGUGAAAUCCCCGGGCUUAACCUGGGAAUGGCGUUUGGGACUGGAAGUCUGGAGUGCGGCAGAGGAGACUGGAAUUCCUGGUGUAGCAGUGAAAUGCGUAGAUAUCAGGAGGAACACCGAUGGCGAAGGCAGGUCUCUGGGCUGACACUGACGCUCAUGCAC
rnacentral:rRNA from 1 species